UACGGGGGGGGCAAGCGUUGUUCGGAAUUACUGGGCGUAAAGGGCUUGUAGGUGGCCAACUAAGUCAGACGUGAAAUCCCUCGGCUUAACCGGGGAACUGCGUCUGAUACUGGAUGGCUAGAGAUUGGGAGAGGGAUGCGGAAUUCCAGGUGUAGCGGUGAAAUGCGUAGAUAUCUGGAGGAACACCGGUGGUGAAGGCGGCAUCCUGGACCAACACUGACACUGAAAAGCGAAAGCCAGGGGAGCAAACGGG
rnacentral:rRNA from 1 species